rnacentral:rRNA from 1 species
GCAUGUGGUUUAAUUCGACGCUACGCGAAGAACCUUACCUGGGUUUGACAUGUUAGUAGUAAAAACCUGAAAAGGGGCUGACCCUGAGGUAACUCAGGGAGCUAACACAGGUGCUGCAUGGCUGUCGUCAGCUCGUGCCGUGAGGUGUUGGGUUAAGUCCCGCAACGAGCGCAACCCUUAUCCUCUGUUGGUCGUAAACGAUCUCUCUGGGGAAACUGCCGGCGAUGAGCUGGAGGAAGGUGGGGAUGACGUCAAGUCAGCAUGGCCCUUAUGUCCAGGGCGACACACGUGCUACAAUGGCUGCUACAGAGGGAUGCAAUACCGUGAGGUGGAGCCAAUCCUUAAAAGCAGUCUCAGUGGGGAUCGGAGUCUGCAAUUCGACUCCGUGAACGCGGAAUCGCUAGUAAUCAUGGAUCAGCCAUGCCAUGGUGAAUACGUUCCCGGGCCUUGUACACACCGCCCGUCACACCACGAAAGCCUGUUGUACCCGAAGCUGGGGAGUUAA